rnacentral:piRNA from 1 species
UAGGCACUACAAGCAAUUCCUAGUAUCAGC